UGGUUAAGCAGACUUUUGUCACCCAGGGC
rnacentral:piRNA from 1 species